CAGGUUGGGUAGGUCCUAGGUAUAGGGGAGACUCUGCCGGAUUUUCGGCACGACUUAGGACGUAUUGGGUCUUUUCUUGAUUUGUAUUGAGUCAUUUGUAUUAAAUAAUUGUAAUAUAAUUGUCAGGUGAGCCGGGACAGCCUUCUUCCUCCGCCCAGCAGCCACAGUGAUUGCCGUCAAGUCUGCCACAGGAGGAUAUUUUUGAGGUUAACCUGCUUCCUUUCCUCGCAGGUUGUUUAUUAAUGUUUGUAUAAUUUUAUUAACUCCUAGAAAUUCCGCAUGUGUUAGAAAUGUUUAUUUGAGUUGGGUCUGUAAACUAAAUUAUUAUUGUGGACCUGUAAAAUUAUUAUUUGCAUGUUUGAUGGACUGGAUGAGGGAGCUGAGCUCCCAUUUUUCUUUA